AAUGGAGGUUUUAAGUGUUACAUCAAGAGCAUGGAAAGUCAAGUUUCCAUGCAAGAAUUCCAAAAACCAACUAGCCAGAUCUCCACUCUAUCCCACAGUUAUAAACAUCAGCCUUCACUGCUGAAAUAGGCAGGUCCUCAGACACAGAGUUUUGCUCUUAAAUCACCAUCCUGCUUGGUGCCACAGCUCUUGGAACUGCGUCACCCGCACAUGCUUGGCUGGGACAGGUCACAACAAUGCCAACAAGGAGUGAGAGGCUGCAUCUCCCUGUCUAGCUUCCUCCAGGAAUAUGGAAAUCAGAGUUUUCCACUUUGGUGUAGAGCAAGGAAGAAACAGCCAUCCAAGUUUGAUGUCUCCGUCCCCAAACAAAACUUGCAAAGCUUUUGAUGUCUCCAAAGAACCUCUUCCAGCUAUGGCAGACAAAUGCAAAGAACCUGGCAGAAGCAAGAGGAGUUGUGAAUAUUGAGUCCUGUGACUGCUCUUUGCAAAGACUUGAUUUUUAUUUCCCUGCAGCAGACCAU